AUUCCAGCUCCAAUAGCGUAUAUUAAAGUUGUUGCAGUUAAAACGCUCGUAGUCGGAUUUCGGGGCGGGCCGACCGGUCUGCCGAUGGGUAUGCACUGGCCGGCGCGUCCUUCCACCCGGAGACCGCGCCUACUCUUAACUGAGCGGGCGCGGGAGACGGGUCUUUUACUUUGAAAAAAUCAGAGUGUUUCAAGCAGGCAGUCGCUCUUGCAUGGAUUAGCAUGGGAUAAUGAAAUAGGACUCUGGUGCUAUUUUGUUGGUCUCGAACACCGGAGUAAUGAUUAACAGGGACAGUCAGGGGCACUCGUAUUCCGCCGAGAGAGGUGAAAUUCUUGGAUUAACGGAAGAUGAACUUCUGCGAAAGCAUCUGCCAAGGAUGUUUUCAUUA
rnacentral:rRNA from 1 species